rnacentral:rRNA from 1 species
GUAGGGCGCAAGCGUUGUCCGGAAUUAUUGGGCGUAAAGAGCUCGUAGGCGGUCCGUUACGUCGGGAGUGAAAACCCGGGGCUCAACCCCGGGCUUGCUUUCGAUACGGGCAGACUAGAGUAUGGCAGGGGAGACUGGAAUUCCUGGUGUAGCGGUGAAAUGCGCAGAUAUCAGGAGGAACACCGGUGGCGAAGGCGGGUCUCUGGGCCAUUACUGACGCUGAGGAGCGAAAGCGUGGGGAGCGAACAGGAUUAGAUACCCUGGUAGUCCACGCCGUAAACGUUGGGCGCUAGGUGUGGGGGUCUUUCCACGACCUCUGUGCCGCAGCUAACGCAUUAAGCGCCCCGCCUGGGGAGUACGGCCGCAAGGCUAAA